rnacentral:rRNA from 1 species
GGUGAACGCUGGUAGUAUGCCUAACACAUGCGAGUCAGACAUAUAUAUUAUGUGGCGUACGGGUGAGUAAUACAUAAAAAUCUAGCUUUUAGCAUAGGAAAAUCCUAUAUAAUCAAAGAAAAACUUUCGCUAAAAGAUGAGUUUAUGCAAGAUUAGGUAGUUGGUAUGGGUAAAAGCCUACCAAGCCAAUGAUCUUUAGCUGGUCUGAGAGGAUGAUCAGCCACACUGGGACUGAGACAAGGCCCAGGCUUCAAAUGAAGCCAGCAGUGAGGAAUCUUGGACAAUGAGCGAAAGCUUGAUCCAGCAAUACUACAUGAAAGAGGACGGCUACUUGGUUGUAAAUUUCUUUGAUUUGGGAGGAGAAUGACAGUACCAAGUUGAAAAGCCCCGGCUAACUUCGUGCCAGCCGCCGCCGUAAAAC